UAGCUAGUUGGUGAGGUAAAGGCUUACCAAGGCGACGAUCUGUAGCGGGUCUGAGAGGAUGAUCCGCCACACUGGAACUGAGACACGGUCAGACUCCUACGGGAGGCAGCAGUGGGGAAUUUUGGACAAUGGGGGCAACCCUGAUCCAGCCAUGCCGCGUGAGUGAAGAAGGCCUUCGGGUUGUAAAGCUCUUUCGGCCGGGAAGAAAUCGCAUGGGCCAAUACCCUGUGUGGAUGACGGUACCGGAAUAAGAAGCACCGGCUAACUACGUGCCAGCAGCCGCGGUAAUACGUAGGGUGCGAGCGUUAAUCGGAAUUACUGGGCGUAAAGCGUGCGCAGGCGGUUUUGUAAGACAGGCGUGAAAUCCCCGGGCUUAACCUGGGAACUGCGUUUGUGACUGCAAGGCUAGAGUACGGCAGAGGGGGGUGGAAUUCCACGUGUAGCAGUGAAAUGCGUAGAGAUGUGGAGGAACACCAAUGGCGAAGGCAGCCCCCUGGGUCGAUACUGACGCUCAUGCACGAAAGCGUGGGUAGCAAACAGGAUUAGAUACCCUGGUAGUCCACGCCCUAAACUAUGUCAACUAGGUGUUGGGUGGGUAAAACCAUUUAGUACCGUAGCUAACGCGUGAAGUUGACCGCCUGGGGAGUACGGCCGCAAGGUUAAAACUCAAAGGAAUUACGGGGACCCGCACAAGCGGUGGAUGAUGUGGAUUAAUUCGAUGCAACGCGAAAAACCUUACCUACCCUUGACAUGCCAGGAACUUGCCAGAGAUGGCUUGGUGCCCGAAAGGGAGCCUGGACACAGGUGCUGCAUGGCUGUCGUCAGCUCGUGUCGUGAGAUGUUGGGUUAAGUCCCGCAACGAGCGCAACCCUUGUCGUUAAUUGCCAUCAUUUAGUUGGGCACUUUAACGAGACUGCCGGUGACAAACCGGAGGAAGGUGGGGAUGACGUCAAGUCCUCAUGGCCCUUAUGGGUAGGGCUUCACACGUCAUACAAUGGUCGGUACAAAGGGUUGCCAAGCCGCGAGGCGGAGCCAAUCCCAGAAAGCCGAUCGUAGUCCGGAUUGCAGGCUGCAACUCGCCUGCAUGAAGUCGGAAUCGCUAGUAAUCGUGGAUCAGCAUGUCACGGUGAAUACGUUCCCGGGUCUUGUACACACCGCCCGUCACACCAUGGGAGCGGGUUCCGCCAGAAGUAGGUAGCCUAACCGCAAGGGGGGCGCUUACCACGGCGGGGUUCGUGACUGGGGUGAAGUCGUAACAAGGUAGCCGUAGGGGAACCUGUGGCUG
rnacentral:rRNA from 1 species